rnacentral:rRNA from 1 species
UACGGGGGGGGGCAAGCGUUGUUCGGAAUUACUGGGCGUAAAGGGCUCGUAGGUGGCCAACUAAGUCGGACGUGAAAUCCCUCGGCUUAACCGGGGAACUGCGUCCGAUACUGGAUGGCUCGAGGAUGGGAGAGGGAUGCGGAAUUCCAGGUGUAGCGGUGAAAUGCGUAGAUAUCUGGAGGAACACCGGUGGCGAAGGCGGCAUCCUGGACCAUUACUGACGCUGAAUAGCGAAAGCCAGGGGAGCAAACGGG